rnacentral:rRNA from 1 species
UCUGCCUCUAUCACGGGGAUAACUACUGGAAACGGUGGCUAAUACCCGAUGUUGCAACUUGUUGUAAAAGUCUUCGGACGGAUAGAGAUGAGUCUGCGUCUGAUUAGCUUGUUGGUAAGGUAACGGCUUACCAAGGCGAUGAUCAGUAACUGGUCUGAGAGGACGAUCAGUCACACUGGAACUGAGACACGGUCCAGACUCCUACGGGAGGCAGCAGUGAGGAAUAUUGGUCAAUGGGGGCAACCCUGAACCAGCGACGCCGCGUGAGGGAUGACGGGGCUUUGCCUUGUAAACCUCUGUCAGAAGGGAAAAGAAGGUUGUUUGGCGACCUGGGCUUGUACCUUCGGAGGAAGCACCGGCUAACUACGUGCCAGCAGCCGCGGUAAUACGUAGGGUGCAAACGUUGUCCGGAAUUACUGGGUGUAAAGGGUGCACAGGCGGUUUUGUGCGUCAGAGGUUAAAUGCCACGGCUCAACUGUGGACCUGCCUUUGAUACGGCAAGACUUGAGUGGAAGAGAGGAUGAUAGAACUCCUGGUGUAGCGGUGAAAUGCGUAGAUAUCAGGAAGAAUACCAUUUGCGAAGGCGGUCAUCCGGCUUUCAACUGACGCUUAAGCACGAAAGCGUGGGUAGCGAACAGGAUUAGAUACCCUGGUAGUCCACGCCCUAAACGAUGCAUGCUU